rnacentral:rRNA from 1 species
CGGUAUAUUGACCGUGCGAAGGUAGCAUAAUGAUUUGUUCUUUAAUUGGGGACUGGUAUGAAUGGUUGAACGAAAGGCAGACUGUCUCUUAUACAUAUGUUGAAUUUAACAUUUGAGUGAAAAGGCUCAAAUAGUUCAGGGGGACGAUAAGACCCUAUAAAUCUUUAUUCUAUUAGUAAAUAACAUUGAAAAUUAUGAUUUAUAAUUCUAUGUUAUUUAACUUUGGUAUUUGGUUGGGGCGACAGGAGUAUAAACAAAUAACUGCUCUAGAUAUAUUAGUUAAUUAUAAUUAAACCUGUUAAUAAGUGAUCCUUUAUUAUGGAUUAUAGAUUAAGUUACUUUAGGGAUAACAGCGUAAUCUCGCCUGAGAGUUCAUAUCGAAGGCGGGGCUUGCGACCUCGAUGUUGAAUUAAAGGUCCGCUACGGUGCAGGAG